GCUCCUGGCGGGGGAGGCGCAGGGAGAUCGGCCCGGACACCGGCUCUGUUUCCGCCCCGAUUUCCCGGUCGCCGCUCCGGGACCCGGCGUCCGACCACCGCUCCCAGGCACCAGGGCGGCCCCUCUCGCUCGGGCCCGACCCCGCCGCUCAGGGGCCCGGGACCGUUUCUUCCGCGUCCCGGCCCUGAGCAGACGCUGCCUGUCCAGGUCCCUCAGGCCUCUUCUCCUGCCGUCUCGCAUCCCUGAAACGAAGGUCACGCGGUCCUAGACCCAAAGGCAAUUUCUGGCCCUGCCGACUGACCCGCGGUCGGAGCGCUGCGGCCCAGCCGCGCCCCCACCCGGAGCCCGCGGCGGCGAUUGCGCGCAAUGGCAGAGGCCGCGGCUUCUCACCCUGCACCGGGCCCAGGAGGCCGCGAAGGUGGCUGAUCGUCCGCCUCCAUCUGUGGCCAUAUGAUUCCUCUUUAGUAUUGGAGACAGCACAUUCCAUACCUGAGAAUUUUCUGGGACUCCGUGGAUCGAGCCACCGAACUGCAGCUAAAGUUGAAUGGAUGUCAUGGAAGUGGUUCAGUUGAGUGUGAAGCAAGGGCUGCCCUUGUCCUCUAUCCUCCCCCAAAACCACGCGGUUACAGGUGUCACGGAUCAAUUCUACAGCUGGCUGUAGCUGUCGGAAAUGAGACUCCCCUACUUUUCAGGUCCUGGGCUUUUUUAACUUGAGAAAAUCCUCUAACUCUAAGGAGUACAAGCUCUUUAAGAAAUAACUGCACUGGUGUUACUGAACCCUAAUGAAGACACAUAAUUUCACCAAAGAAAAAGUUGUGACUUCUUAUCCUGCAAGGGGAUUUCUUUGGUCCCAAAUACCAUAAGGUAGUACAAGUGCAAAAAUGUUCCCAUAAGAAAUGGAGAUGUCACUCUUAUCCAGCAGCCACAGGACACUAACACCAGUCACCACCGGAGCUCUCGGAAGCUGGGGCAGGAGGUCUGGGAAGCACAUGCUGAAGAGCUCGGCCUGCAGCACUGAUGGGAUGGCUCCAAAACCCCGCUGGAGAUUGCUGUGACUCUCCAGAACCUCUGAGAAAGUUCCUGUCACUCAUCGUGGUCUGCACAGGCAGAGCAGUAAUUUUUAGAGACGAGUGUCAUUGUGAAGCAUGUGGUGACUACGAGAGGAAAGUAACCAGCUCCAGCGUCCCACCUAGUCACCAGGUGACUCAGCCUGAGACCUUGAUGGCAACUGCUGUACCCAAAGGCAAAAGAGGCCAUCUGCAGGGCAGACAGAACUUUUUCACAAGAGUCUCCUGGUGGGAUGACACUUGGCAUGUGUGAUGUGAUCUCAAGAAUCUGAGAGAAGGAAGGAGGCCUCAGGAUAGUGUGUGCGUGCACGUGUGUGUGGGACUGCAGCUCAGGCCAGGACUGCAGAAACAGCCCAAAGCUUGGAACUGAGAAUUCCUACAGAAGGUCCCAGAAACAUGUUGAGAAGAAGAGGAAAAUGAGAAGAGACCAUGAUAGUGGUGAGCAAGUGAGGAUAUUUUCUUAGGCUUGCAAAUUUACUCUUCAAAAUCAUCGAUAAUGCAUCAGUGACAGAUCCAAAACAUUUAUUUAAUUUCCUCUAGACACAAUGACAGACUAUGGCAAUGUAGUGUUCAAAGAGACUUUGAUUUAGUCAAGGAGACCCAUCCAUUCGCUGUAAUGGGGACCGUGGCCACAGAGAGUGGGGAGGGAGUCUGUGCUGGAGCACGUGCCAAUCCCCAAGGCUCCCGCGGGAGCUGCCACUGCGCCCUCCACAUUGGUGGGCGUGGCCUCACCCAGGGUUCCCUGCAGGGAACAGCCGCUGGCUACUUCUGGGUUCCCCUCACUUGCCUGCCAUCUCCUGGCCUCCCUGAAUCACUGACGGCUAUGCCCUGUAGAUGCCAUUCUGCAGAGCCUAAGAUAAAAAAGAUGCCAUGAAGAUUACCGAGGAGGAAGGGGAGUUGGUUUGCCUGGACCAGCUUCAUCAAGCAGUGCAGGUGAAGACGCGCUGCUAACCAAACUGUGCUGCUGAUUUUCAAAAUCCUGAAUGAGCACGAAUCCACAAUGGAGUCAAAAAGAGUCUUCUUAUCAUCAAAAGAGAAAACAGACUUCAGGAUCAGUUACCUCAGCAAACACAGGCCCUGGGAAGUCAUGUUGUCUCAUAUACCGUCACUUCUUUGCAGCAACUUCCUGUCUG